rnacentral:rRNA from 1 species
UACUCGAGUGGCGAACGGGUGAGUAACACGUGGGUGAUCUGCCCUGCACUUCGGGAUAAGCCUGGGAAACUGGGUCUAAUACCGGAUAGGACGAUGGUUUGGAUGCCAUUGUGGAAAGUUUUUCGGUGUGGGAUGAGCUCGCGGCCUAUCAGCUUGUUGGUGGGGUAAUGGCCUACCAAGGCGUCGACGGGUAGCCGGCCUGAGAGGGUGUACGGCCACAUUGGGACUGAGAUACGCCCAAG